rnacentral:rRNA from 1 species
GACGAACGCUGGCGGCGUGCUUAACACAUGCAAGUCGAGCGGAAAGGCCCGUUCGGGGUACUCGAGCGGCGAACGGGUGAGUAACACGUGAGUAACCUGCCCUUGGCUCUGGGAUAAGCCCGGGAAACUGGGUCUAAUACCGGAUAUGACCACUGACUGCAUGGUUGGUGGUGGAAAGUUUUUCGGCUGGGGAUGGACUCGCGGUCUAUCAGCUUGUUGGUGGGGCGAUGGCCUACCAAGGCGACGACGGAUAGCCGGCCUGAGAGGGUGACCGGCCACACUGGGACUGAGACACGGCCCAGACUCCUACGGGAGGCAGCAGUGGGGAAUAUUGGACAAUGGGCGCAAGCCUGAUCCAGCCAUGCCGCGUGGAUGAUGAAGGCCUUAGGGUUGUAAAGUCCUUUUAACGGGGAAGAUAAUGACGGUACCCGUAGAAUAA